UUAUGAACUCCCAGGACUUCUAGAAUGUUAGAACUAUAUGGGGCCUUAAAGAUGGUCCAGUCCAGGCCCUGGAUUCUACAGUAAGGAAUCAAGACACUGAGUCAAGACUUGAUUGUCACUUCCUCUUGCAUGCCCACAGAACUGAACACAGUGCCUAAUCAGAAUAGAUGCUUCAUUCAUGGCAAUGAAAUGAAAGAAGAAAUGCAUUCCCCUCUUUUCCUUGGGGCCUCCACUGUCAUUAUGAUGAGAGCUUACAACCCCUUCCUGAAGCUCAGGAAAGUUCCUAGGUUGGAGUAGAAAAGGGGACGCCACAAAACAUCAAGAUGUCACACAGGGUCUUGGCUCAGACAGGGACAUCAGUUCCCAGCAGAUGUUAAAAUCUGCCUCCACUGUCAAUCUUCCUUGUUACCCUUCUAGAAAUAAAAUUUACC
rnacentral:lncRNA from 1 species